AGUGAACGCUGGCGGUAGGCCUAACACAUGCGAGUCGAACGGCAGCACAGUAAGAGCUUGCUCUUACGGGUGGCGAGUGGCGGACGGGUGAGGAAUACAUCGGAAUCUACUUUUUCGUGGGGGAUAACGUAGGGAAACUUACGCUAAUACCGCAUACGACCUACGGGUGAAAGCAGGGGAUCUUCGGACCUUGCGCGAUUGAAUGAGCCGAUGUCGGAUUAGCUAGUUGGCGGGGUAAAGGCCCACCAAGGCGACGAUCCGUAGCUGGUCUGAGAGGAUGAUCAGCCACACCGGAACUGAGACACGGUCCAGACUCCUACGGGAGGCAGCAGUGGGGAAUAUUGGACAAUGGGCGCAAGCCUGAUCCAGCCAUACCGCGUGGGUGAAGAAGGCCUUCGGGUUGUAAAGCCCUUUUGUUGGGAAAGAAAAGCAGCAGGUUAAUACCCCGCUGUUCUGACGGUACCCAAAGAAUAAGCACCGGCUAACUUCGUG
rnacentral:rRNA from 1 species